rnacentral:rRNA from 1 species
UACCUGACCUCGGAUCAGACGUGAUUACCCGCUGAACUUAAGCAUAUCACUAAGCGGAGGAAAAGAAACUAACCAGGAUUCCCUUGGUAACGGCGAGUGACCAGGGAAAAGCCCAGCACCGAAGACUGUGGCCAGUUGGCUACUAGUCAAUGUGGUGUUUAGGUUGUUCCGGCGGAGUCGCUGCUCCACCCUAAGUCCAUGAAUGAGUAUGGUAAAUGGACAUGGCCCACAGAGGGUGACAGGCCCGUGGGGGUGGAG